UAACUCUGAAGGAAGCUCAAGGAAUCGGGACAACCGGAAGAUAUUAAAAAGUCCCCGUUUCCUCGCAGACUUCUUUAUAGGGAACUAAAAUACAUAAAUGAUGGCGUUUGUGGAAACCACAUCGGAUGACCGCUACUUUCAUUCUCUGAUCAAAGCUGGGGGACAGAUUCGCAGAAGCUCUGCAGAAAGGCACCAUUUUUUUCUGGGCGUUAAUGUUAACUGAAAAAACACCUGAACAGGCACGAAUAGGGAUGCGAGAGAUCUGACACAUGGGUAACGAAACGUCGCCGGUCGGACACGCAUGCAGUCUGCAAAGCCCAAGAAGAAGUUAUCCGACAAGGCGAGGCUCCUAGCUCCUCGGGAGUCCGCUCGGCCGGUAGCUGCUGCCAGGAUAACAUAACACUUACACACUGCAAGUAUCAAUCACGAUGUCAGGUAUGCAGUAAGCCAACCGAUCGGCGACUUACUCAUUUCGUACGACAUGCUGACAGGCGCCGCAAUAAGCUCUUCGUACGGAUGAAUAGUCAGUAGAGCCUCCGUGCUCAGACUCCCUGCUCGAAUUCCUGCACCACCGACUCGGCCCGGACUCGCCCAGCAGCACCAACGCGGAAGAAAGUGUCGCGCGCCGCGCCUUUACCCAUAUAUGGUAAAGUCGGCCGCGGCGCGCGCGCCUGACACGAUCUCUCAGGAAGUGACGUCUUCCUCGCGGCCUAGAACUGGGAAGCUAUGAAUGGGGGACUGUUUCUUUUUUAUUAUUCUUCUUUUUAUUAUUUAUUCUUCUUAUUAUGUUCACCGCAUUGUACUUAUAAAAACGUUGUAACCAUCACAAGAUUACAUUUUAUAACACGUUCUGUCUGCAAUUACUCAGGUCUAUGGAAAACAAAAGGGUAAUGCACUGCAAUUAGCAGCGAUGCCUAAAGCAGACGCAUCCACAAUUCUUUUUUACAUUUACCAUAUGUCCAUGACAUUCGCUGUAAGAGUCAAGUUAAAUGCCUUUAUUAAUGCUUUCAGUCCUUUAGAAUAUGCGUGCUCUUAAAAAGUACAUAAUCAGAAAUGUCUCUAAAAUGUUUAUGGAAAUUUUCAAACAAGUAUAGGUUGCUCAAUUCAAUAACAUUACAUAUGAAUCUGACUGUUGCAGGAGAAUAACACUUCAUUAAAACUGCUGUCAACUACAUUUUGAACUAUUUAUAGAAAUCACUGCAGAUAUGUAGCCUAACUAAAGAAAAGUGUAAUAGUAUGCUACUAAUGAACCACAAUACAGGGAUUUUCACUAAUGUAAGAACAUUAUACAAAAGAAUUGCCUUACAAUGGGUGCCAUGAAGUCUCAGUGAGUAGCAUAUACCUCUACAGUUGAAUCUUAACUCUGCAUGUAAUGUGAGCAUGUUCCCCAUGCUGUGUGCCGUUCUUCUUGGUACUCCAGUUUCCUACUGCAGUCCAACAACUUGCAGUUAGAUUAAAUGGCACCUAUAAAUUA